GCACCAUUGCCUCAGGGCAUAUGUGUGUGACUGACUAUGGGUGGCAGUGUAGCAUGUUAGGGAGCGCGGCUUGUAACUUUGAGGUUGCCAGAUCGAUUCCCAAGUUGCACCCUCGAGCAAGGCACUGACAUGCUUCAGCAAAUAAAUGCUCAGCUGUAUUUGGAUCACAUGUUUAGAGCACAAGCUGUGUAAGACACUCUGGAUAAAUGCAUAGUAUAUGCAGCUAAAGCAGCAGCUUUUCACACCAAAAAUAUUGCUGGGGAAAUUAUUGGCGGAUGCUAACGGAACACUGGUGAGCUGCUCGGAUAAUGCCAGCAAAAUGCUGGCAGGGACGCUGGGGGAAAAGCCCGGUGUUGCUGUGAAACCAGAAGAGCUCCAGCCUCACCUCGCGGAUAGCUGUGAAACACUGUAAUUAUUGCCUCUGGCAAGUGACGGUAAUUAACGAGGUGGCAGAGAAACGGAGGUGCGAACGUUCAGGUUGCAAAUUGCGCGGGGCUCCCCGGCGCAAGCUGUCGCGCUAAUGCGAGGAGUCUGCUGCAUUCUAAUGUUAAUGUCCUCGCGCCCGCGCUCUUAAUGCGCGAAUCUGCUUCGUACACGGCUGCGGGGAAAUGACGGUCUCAAUUUCGCAUCUGCCGGGAGACAGGAAACGCUUCAAAAUAUUAGCGGUUAAACAAUCAAUUGGGCAGGCUAAUUACGUGAGGUGCAACAGUAAAUUACGUCUGAGUGAUUAAAAUGGCCGUUUAACGAGGGAGCGAAUUGGCUGCGCCGCCGCCGUUUGCAAACAGACUUUUUGCGAGUGUGACUGAUGUGGAUUCACCAAUCAGCGCGCAGCAACCGUGAGUACCCUCAGUCAAGACUUCUUCUUUAUGGAGUGGGAGCCAGCUUUUGAGAGUCAUUGAUCUGAGUUAUCGCUCAGUUAAGACAAAGACCCAGUAUUGUUGUAAAUUGGUUAAAAAUGUGGUUGGGCCCCCUGUAAAAGUGAUUCAAGGUACUGAGAGGUUAUCGCUUCUCUUUUUUGUUAUCAUCAUAAAUGAGCAGUACUUAAUUUACUGUCAAUUCCUUUAUGGGCAAUGGUGAGCAUUCUGGCGCAAAAUGGCUGCCGUGCAUCACCCAGGUGGGUGCUACACAUUGGCGGUGGCUGAGAAACUCCACGCUGACAAUGUGACGGCUCACUUCCCGGGUACAAUCCUCAAACGAAGCUGGAAGAGCCUGGAUAUUUACCUGUAAUACAGGAAGGUGCGGUCCAUUUGAGGAGGGCAGGAAGUCCCGGCUCGUGCAU